GAUGAAGAACGUAGUGAAAUGCGAUAAGUAAUGUGAAUUGCAGAAUUCAGUGAAUCAUCGAAUCUUUGAACGCACCUUGCGCCCUUUGGACAUUCCGAAGGGCAUGCCCGUUUGAGUAUCAUGAACACCUCAACUCUCACGGCUUGUCCGUGAUGAGCUUGGACUUUGGGGGUCUUGCCGACCUGUGGUCGGCUCCUCUCAAAUGGAUCAGCUUGCCAGUGUUUGGUGGCAUCACAGGUGUGAUAACUAUCUGCGCUUGUGGUUUUCCAUCAGAUAACCUUCAGUGAUAUGGAGGUUCGCUGGAGCUCACAAAUGUCUCUCCUUAGUGAGGACAGCUCUUUGAACGUUUGAUCUCAAAUCAGGUAGGACUACCCGCUGAACUUAAGCAUAUCAAUAAGCGGAGGA
rnacentral:misc_RNA from 1 species